ACCGCAACUCCAGUUGCCUUAGUCGCCGCAGCAACCUCGCUAGCAGGCUUCUUAUCCCUCACAGCAUCUGCCUCCGGAUCCGACGCCGCAGGCGGCGGGGGCUGGUAACUCCCAGAUGCUUCCACCACUUCCGGAGAAGAAAGGAGGCAAGCAGAGGUUGCUCGUAUCAGGGAGAAAUACCCUGAUAGAAUUCCUGUGAUUGUGGAGAAAGCUAAGAGAAGUGACAUACCAGACAUUGACAAAAAGAAGAAGUUGAUGGUGUGAAAGUUCUUCAACUAGAACUCCAGUUGGAGCGGCAAUUCAAGUAAUCUUUUAGUUGCUUUGAUACUUUGUCUCUUGUAGUUCAAAUCAUAUAUAUUUAAAACGUACCAAAGUAUGCUUUAACAGUUUUUAAUAAUG